GGAACCAGUUUCUCCAUGAAAUUCCAGGUAGAUGCUAGGCCUUCUGAGGGACUCUCUUUCCUUUCCAUUCUUCUUCUCAAUAAUCGUUUUCUUUUUCCCUCAUUUCGCUUGAUUGGAAUUGUGGAUAUCGAAGUUUGAACUUAGUUUUGGUUCUUAAUUUUGAACGUCGAUGGGGAUUUUCUUAGUUUCCUUUUCCGGCGAUCUCUAAG
rnacentral:misc_RNA from 1 species